rnacentral:rRNA from 1 species
AGCCUUCUGAGAUACAUAAUAGAAGGUGAAACCUGCCCAGUGACCUACGGGUUAAACGGCCGCGGUACCCUGACCGUGCUAAGGUAGCAUAUAAUAUACCCUUUAAUUGUGGGAUAGUAUGAAUGGAUAAACGAAAGUUAAGCUGUUUCCUAAAUAUAAAUAUAAAUUAAUCUUCAGGUGAAGAAUCCUGAAUUAAAUUAAAAGACAAGAAGACCCUGUAGAGCUUCACCUAAUAAACAUAGAGAAAAAACAAAUGUAUUUUUCUCUAUGUAUAAUAAAGGUUUAACUGGGGCGGUUAGAGAAUAAUAAACUUCUACUUUAUAAUAAAGGCUAUCCUGCCCAACAAAUAAACAAAUAUAAAUUCAAAGAACAAAGCUACCUCAGGGAUAACAGUCUAAUCUUUCCUGAGAGUACCUAUUGAAGGAAAUGUUUGGCACCUCGAUGUUGGCUUAAGGUUUCCUAGGGGUAGCAGCAGCCCCUAAAGGUAGGUUUGUUCAACCUUCAAAACCUU